CUAAUGAUAUCUGAGGACAGAAGUCUCUCUGAGUAGAAAGAAAGAUCCUGAAGGAAAAGCUUGUCUGGCAUGUUGCGUAGCAGCAGGGAGGAAGGUAUGACUGGAACAUAAAGAAUUGUACGGAGAGUGGUAAGAGUUGAGGACCGAAGCAAAGAGGGGUGGGGGGUACAGUGAGUCAUUGUGGGUUACAAGGGGUAUCAGUGGCUUAAGCUUGCCCUUAAAGGAAGGAUGUAGUUAGAUCACUAAAGGGAGCGGAAGGCAGUUCUGGUAGAGAGAACAUCCUGAGACUUUGCUCAUACUCACAGAACUACACAGCAAAGCGUGUUCAGGAAACGGCGUCUAGACAGGUGUGAUGGAAGCAGAGCAUUCGUGCGUGAGGGAAGAACAGCACACGGAGAAUAUAAAAGAGUCUUCCUAGCUCUGCCUAACUCCUGCAUUGACCACCCACAUAACGUGAUGUGCACCAUCUAGAAGCUGGUCUACUACGCUGCGCAGCUGGACUCCAUGACUGAGAGGGGGAAAAAGGCAGUAAAGGGAUGAACUCAAGCACUGGCCUCAAAUGAAUGAUGACCAUCUAACAGUCCGCAAAGUCUUCACUUACCUCCAAAACAUUUUCCUGAUUUGGGUCCAAAAUAAAUUCAAAGGUCUCAUUCCA